GGUGGGUUUCUGGCCAGACUUGAAGGCUGCCCACGAGCUGUACGAAUCGCUUGCCCAGGCUCUGCGGGAGCGGGAGAGCGAGAGUCAGGAGAAGGAGUAUGCAGAGCACCUGCCUGUGGAGAUCCUGGAGGCAGGGAUCAAGUCCUGGCGAUACAUCCAGGUCACGCUCAAUGUAAACAAGCAUAGAGCACAAGUAGAAGCCUUUGUUUGCAUACAGGGAUCUGCAAGCAAAAAUACAGGUAUGCCAUGAGUGUGAUGUGGGAGCCGGAUAAAAGCUCUUAUGAGGUGAAGCGGGUGUGAUACGGCCGCACAAUCAUCCGCUCCUCCUACAAGUUGUUCUACGAGGCGGCCCAGGCUCUGCUGGACGGGGACUGGAGCGUGGUGGAGCAGAUCCUUGAGCUGGCUGGACUGGGCGGAGAGGCGAGGCAGGAGAAACUGGACCAGCUGGUCUGGGCCAUUGGCAGCUUGGCGGACAUCGCACACUACUUGAGGGCCAAGCGGGACAGAGGAGGCGCGCUGGAGCUGGAGGGCGUGGAGGUGCGCUUUCAGCUGGACGCCCAAAAGAACAUCGCGCCCUGGUGCCCAGGCAGCCCCUGGAGGUGCACGAGACCGUGGCGGAGUGCAUGAUCCUAGCCAAUCAUGGGUCGCCAAGAAGAUCUGGGAGCGUUUCCCUCACCAGGCCCUGCUCCGCCACCACCCCCCGCCAAGGCAGGAGUUCUUCACUGAGUUGGUGGAGUGCGUCAAAGCCAAGGGCUUCACCACAGA